GGCUCGUUGGUUUAGGGGUAUGAUUCUCGCUUUGUGGUGUGAGAGGUCCCGGGUUCACAAUCCCCGGAUGAGCCC
rnacentral:tRNA from 1 species